AACGCGAAGAACCUUACCUGGGCUCGAAAUGUACCGGAAUCCGGCAGAAACGUCGGCGCCUAGCAAUAGGCCGGUAUAUAGGUGCUGCAUGGCUGUCGUCAGCUCGUGUCGUGAGAUGUUGGGUUAAGUCCCGCAACGAGCGCAACCCUUAUCUUCAGUUGCUACCAUUUAGUUGAGCACUCUGACGAAACCGCCUCGGAUAACGGGGAGGAAGGUGGGGAUGACGUCAAGUCCUCAUGGCCUUUAUGUCCAGGGCUACACACGUGCUACAAUGGCCGGUACAAACCGCUGCAAACCCGCGAGGGGGAGCUAAUCGGAAAAAGCCGGCCUCAGUUCGGAUUGGAGUCUGCAACUCGACUCCAUGAAGCUGGAAUCGCUAGUAAUCGUGGAUCAGCAUGCCACGGUGAAUACGUUCCCGGGCCUUGUA
rnacentral:rRNA from 1 species